rnacentral:rRNA from 1 species
UACAGAGGGGGCCAGCGUUAUUCGGAAUUAUUGGGCGUAAAGGGCGCGUAGGCGGCCAUGUCGUGUCGUUACCGUCGAAAUCCCUCGGCUUAACUGAGGACGUGCGGAAGAAACUGCAAGGGCUGCGAGUCCGGGAGAGGGGGGUGGAAUUCCCAGUGUAGCGGAUUGAAAUGCGUAGAUAUUGGGAGGAACAUCGGUGGGCGAAGGCGGCCCCCUGGACCGGUACUGACGCUGAGGCGCGAAAGCGUGGGGUAGCAAACGGGG